AGUGAACGCUGGCGGUAGGCCUAACACAUGCAAGUCGAACGGCAGCACAGUAAGAGCUUGCUCUUACGGGUGGCGAGUGGCGGACGGGUGAGGAAUACAUCGGAAUCUACUUUUUCGUGGGGGAUAACGUAGGGAAACGUACGCUAAUACCGCAUACGACCUACGGGUGAAAGCAUGGGAUCUUCGGACCUUGCGCGAUUGAAUGAGCCGAUGUCGGAUUAGCUAGUUGGCGGGGUAAAGGCCCACCAAGGCGACGAUCCGUAGCUGGUCUGAGAGGAUGAUCAGCCACACUGGAGCUGAGACACGGUCCAGACUCCUACGGGAGGCAGCAGUGGGGAAUAUUGGACAAUGGGCGCAAGCCUGAUCCAGCCAUACCGCGUGGGUGAAGAAGGCCUUCGGGUUGUAAAGCCCUUUUGUUGGGAAAGAAAAGCAGCAGGUUAAUACCCCGCUGUUCCGACGGUACCCAAAGAAUAAGCACCGGCUAACUUCGUG
rnacentral:rRNA from 1 species